rnacentral:ncRNA from 1 species
GCGCAACCGAACGGGAGCCGCAAGGCUGAGAGGAAGCGACGCUUCGACCGUCAACUUGAUGCGGGUAAUGCCGCCGUAGGGACGAGUUGUCCAGUCGCA